rnacentral:rRNA from 1 species
UACGUAGGGCGCAAGCGUUGUCCGGAAUUAUUGGGCGUAAAGAGCUCGUAAGCGGCUUGUCACGUCGGGUGUGAAAGCCCGGGGCUUAACCCCGGGUCUGCAUUCGAUACGGGCUAGCUAGAGUGUGGUAGGGGAGAUCGGAAUUCCUGGUGUAGCGGUGAAAUGCGCAGAUAUCAGGAGGAACACCGGUGGCGAAGGCGGGUCUCUGGGCCGAUACUGACGCUGAGGAGCGAAAGCGUGGGGAGCGAACAGG